GUAAGAGCGCACUAGUCGAGUGACACUGCGCCGAAAAUGUACCGGGGCUAAACAUAUUACCGAAGCUGUGGAUUGUCCUUUGGACAAUGGUAGGAGAGCGUUCUAAGGGCGUCGAAGCAUGAUCGCAAGGACAUGUGGAGCGCUUAGAAGUGAGAAUGCCGGUGUGAGUAGCGAAAGACGGGUGAGAAUCCCGUCCACCGAUUGACUAAGGUUUCCAGAGGAAGGCUCGUCCGCUCUGGGUUAGUCGGGUCCUAAGCUGAGGCCGACAGGCGUAGGCGAUGGAUAACAGGUUGAUAUUCCUGUACCACCUAGUAUCGUUUUAAUCGAUGGGGGGACGCAGUAGGAUAGGCGAAGCGUGCUGUUGGAGUGCACGUCCAAGCAGUAAGGCUGAGUGUUAGGCAAAUCCGGCACUCAUAAGGCUGAGCUGUGAUGGGGAGAGGAAAUUGUUUCCUCGAGUCGUUGAUUUCACACUGCCGAGAAAAGCCUCUAGAUAGAUAACAGGUGCCCGUACCGCAAACCGACACAGGUAGUCAAGAUGAGAAUUCUAAGGUGAGCGAGCGAACUCUCGUUAAGGAACUCGGCAAAAUGACCCCGUAACUUCGGGAGAAGGGGUGCUCUUUAGGGUUCACGCCCAGAAGAGCCGCAGUGAAUAGGCCCAAGCGACUGUUUAUCAAAAACACAGGUCUCUGCUAAACCGUAAGGUGAUGUAUAGGGGCUGACGCCUGCCCGGUGCUGGAAGGUUAAGAGGAGUGGUUAGCUUCUGCGAAGCUACGAAUCGAAGCCCCAGUAAACGGCGGCCGUAACUAUAACGGUCCUAAGGUAGCGAAAUUCCUUGUCGGGUAAGUUCCGACCCGCACGAAAGGCGUAACGAUUUGGGCACUGUCUCAACGAGAGACUCGGUGAAAUCAUAGUACCUGUGAAGAUGCAGGUUACCCGCGACAGGACGGAAAGACCCCGUGGAGCUUUACUGUAGCCUGAUAUUGAAAUUCGGCACAGCUUGUACAGGAUAGGUAGGAGCCUUUGAAACGUGAGCGCUAGCUUACGUGGAGGCGUUGGUGGGAUACUACCCUAGCUGUGUUGGCUUUCUAACCCGCACCACUUAUCGUGGUGGGAGACAGUGUCAGGCGGGCAGUUUGACUGGGGCGGUCGCCUCCUAAAAGGUAACGGAGGCGCUCAAAGGUUCCCUCAGAAUGGUUGGAAAUCAUUCAUAGAGUGUAAAGGCAUAAGGGAGCUUGACUGCGAGACCUACAAGUCGAGCAGGGUCGAAAGACGGACUUAGUGAUCCGGUGGUUCCGCAUGGAAGGGCCAUCGCUCAACGGAUAAAAGCUACCCCGGGGAUAACAGGCUUAUCUCCCCCAAGAGUUCACAUCGACGGGGAGGUUUGGCACCUCGAUGUCGGCUCAUCGCAUCCUGGGGCUGUAGUCGGUCCCAAGGGUUGGGCUGUUCGCCCAUUAAAGCGGUACGCGAGCUGGGUUCAGAACGUCGUGAGACAGUUCGGUCCCUAUCCGUCGUGGGCGUAGGAAAUUUGAGAGGAGCUGUCCUUAGUACGAGAGGACCGGGAUGGACAUACCUCUGGUGUACCAGUUGUCGUGCCAACGGCAUAGCUGGGUAGCUAUGUAUGGACGGGAUAAGUGCUGAAAGCAUCUAAGCAUGAAGCCCCCCUCAAGAUGAGAUUUCCCAACUUCGGUUAUAAGAUCCCUCGAAGAUGACGAGGUUAAUAGGUUCGAGGUGGAAGCGUGGUGACACGUGGAGCUGACGAAUACUAAUCGAUCGAAGACUUAAUCAAUUUUUAAA
rnacentral:rRNA from 1 species